rnacentral:rRNA from 1 species
UAGUGGGGGACAACAUUUCGAAAGGGAUGCUAAUACCGCAUACGUCCUACGGGAGAAAGCAGGGGAUCUUCGGACCUUGCGCUAAUAGAUGAGCCUAAGUCGGAUUAGCUAGUUGGUGGGGUAAAGGCCUACCAAGGCGACGAUCUGUAGCGGGUCUGAGAGGAUGAUCCGCCACACUGGGACUGAGACACGGCCCAGACUCCUACGGGAGGCAGCAGUGGGGAAUAUUGGACAAUGGGGGGAACCCUGAUCCAGCCAUGCCGCGUGUGUGAAGAAGGCCUUAUGGUUGUAAAGCACUUUAAGCGAGGAGGAGGGUACUGGUAUUAAUACUACCAGGUACUGGACGUUACUCGCAGAAUAAGCACCGGCUAACUCUGUGCCAGCAGCCGCGGUAAUACAGAGGGUGCGAGCGUUAAUCGGAUUUACUGGGCGUAAAGCGUGCGUAGGCGGCUAAUUGAGUCGGAUGUGAAAUCCCCGAGCUUAACUUGGGAAUUGCAUUCGAUACUGGUUAGCUAGAGUGUGGGAGAGGAUGGUAGAAUUCCAGGUGUAGCGGUGAAAUGCGUAGAGAUCUGGAGGAAUACCGAUGGCGAAGGCAGCCAUCUGGCCUAACACUGACGCUGAGGUACGAAAGCAUGGGGAGCAAACAGGAUUAGAUACCCUGGUAGUCCAUGCCGUAAACGAUGUCUACUAGCCGUUGGUCUCUUUGAGGGAAUAGUGG